UAUUUCUUUCAUGGAGCUUGUUUUUCACCGGUGAAAAUAUGGAAAAGUUAACUUACAUAAGAGAUGAGGAAAAAUUAUAUGAAGCUAUCACUAUAAAACAUGGACGAGGGCUAAUAUGGAGAAGGAAGACUAUUCCGAAGAAUGCUGAACCACCACCACCAGGUCCUCCAAGGAACAAAGGCCAAAACCCCUAGCUAGUACGCAAAUACCAAUGUCAAAAGAGAAUAUUGCAUAUUGGUAUUUUGGUUCACUUGUAAGAUUCCAAUAAUCUCUAGAAAAUUGACUUGUUAUUUGUGUAAUAACACAUUAUGAGAAUGAAGAUUAGGGUUGGUUGAACCCUAGGCCACUUAGUCAA